rnacentral:rRNA from 1 species
AUCGAACGCUGGCGGCAGGCCUAACACAUGCAAGUCGAGCGAGUAGCGGCCGGGUGAGUACUGUUUGGGAAACAGCCUGAUGGUGAGGUAUCAUUACUGCAACCGGUAGCUAAUACCGCAUACCAUCAGAUCUGCCCAGAUGGGCUCAGCUAGUAGGUAGGGGAACGGCUUACCUAGGCGACGAUCUCUAGCUGAUCUGAGAGGAUGGUCGGCCACACUGGGACUGAGACACGGUCCAGACUCCGACGAGAGGCAGCAGUGGGGAAUAUUGCACAAUGGGCGCAAGCCUGAUGCAGCCAUGCCGCGUGUGUGAAGAAGGCCUUCGGGUUGUAAAGCACUGUCGGCGGGGAAGCGUUAACCAAAGAAGAAGCACCGGCUAACUCCGUGCCAGCCGCCGCGGUAAUAC